rnacentral:rRNA from 1 species
CUCAACCCGGGAAUGGCUUGGUAUACUGCCGUUCUUGAGGCAGGUAGGGGUGACUGGAACCUUAGGUGGAGCGGUGAAAUGCAUAGAUAUCUAAGGGAACGCCUGUGGCGAAAGCGGGUCACUGGGCCUGUCCUGACGCUGAGACCCGAAAGCGUAGGUAGCGAACGGGAUUAGAUACCCCGGUAGUCUACGCCGUAAACGAUGCGUACUAGGUUCGAGGGAUUCUGACAUUUCUCGUGCCGGAAGAAAACCGUUAAGUACGCCGCCUGGGGAGUACGGCCGCAAGGCUAAAACUCAAAGGAAUUGACGGGGGCUCACACAAGCGGCGGAGCAUGUGGAUUAAUUCGAAGCAACGCGAAGAACCUUACCUGGGUUUGACAUGCACGGAUGCCCUCGGUGAAAGCCGAGUAAGCUGCCUUCGGGUGAAACG